rnacentral:rRNA from 1 species
UGACUCUCGACAAUGGAUAUCUUGGCUCUUGCAUUGAUG